AGUGAACGCUGGCGGUAGGCCUAACACAUGCAAGUCGAACGGCAGCACAGUAAGAGCUUGCUCUUACGGGUGGCGAGUGGCGGACGGGUGAGGAAUACAUCGGAAUCUACUUUUUCGUGGGGGAUAACGUAGGGAAAAUUACGCUAAUACCGCAUACGACCUACGGGUGAAAGCAGGGGAUCUUCGGACCUUGCGCGAUUGAAUGAGCCGAUGUCGGAUUAGCUAGUUGGCGGGGUAAAAGCCCACCAAGGCGACGAUCCGUAGCUGGUCUGAGAGGAUGAUCAGCCACACUGGAACUGAGACACGGUCCAGACUCCUACGGGAGGCAGCAGUGGGGAAUAUUGGACAAUGGGCGCAAGCCUGAUCCAGCCAUACCGCGUGUGUGAAGAAGGCCUUCGGGUUGUAAAGCCCUUUUGUUGGGAAAGAAAAGCAGCAGGUUAAUACCCCGCUGUUCUGACGUUACCCAAAGAAUAAGCACCGGCUAACUUCGUG
rnacentral:rRNA from 1 species